rnacentral:rRNA from 1 species
GACGAACGCUGGCGGCGUGCUUAACACAUGCAAGUCGAACGGAAAGGCCCUGCUUUUGUGGGGUGCUCGAGUGGCGAACGGGUGAGUAACACGUGAGUAACCUGCCCUUGACUUUGGGAUAACUUCAGGAAACUGGGGCUAAUACCGGAUAGGAGCUCCUGCUGCAUGGUGGAGGUUGGAAAGUUUCGGCGGUUGGGGAUGGACUCGCGGCUUAUCAGCUUGUUGGUGGGGUAGUGGCUUACCAAGGGUUUGACGGGUAGCCGGCCUGAGAGGGUGACCGGCAACAUUGGGACUGAGAUACGGCCCAGGCUCCUACGGGAGGCAGCAGUGAGGAAUAUUGCACAAUGGGCGGAAGCCUGAUGCAGCAACGCCGCGGGCGGGAUGACGGCCUUCGGGUUGUAAACCGCUUUCGCCUGUGACGAAGCGUGAGUGACGGUAAUGGGUAAAGAAGCACCGGCUAAGUACGUG